rnacentral:rRNA from 1 species
GUAGUCUCGCACAGAUGCAUAUCAAUAAGCGGAGGAAAAGAAACUAACAAGGAUUCCCCUAGUAACGGCGAGUGAAGCGGGAAGAGCUCAAAUUUGAAAUCUUAAAGGGUUUCCCUUUACGAAUUGUAGUUUAAAGAAGUGUUUUCUGUUGAGGUUUUGGUAAAAGUUCUUUGGAAUAGGACAUCAUAGAGGGUGAGAAUCCCGUAUUUGACCUUUACUUUCAACUUUGUGAUACACUUUCAAAGAGUCGGAUUGUUUGGGUAAUGCAGUCCAAAAUGGGUGGUAAAUUUCAUCUAAAGCUAAAUAUUGGCGAGAGACCGAUAGCGAACAAGUACCGUGAGGGAAAGAUGAAAAGAACUUUGAAAAGAGAGUUAAACAGUACGUGAAAUUGUCAAAAGGGAAGCGUUUGACACCAGUGUUGUUUUUCUGAAAAUCAAUUAAAGAACUGUUUAUGCUAAGUUGUUUAGACUUUAUCAGCUAACUGUUUAGUUUUGAGCUUUUCUUUAAUGCACUUUUCAGUUAACAAGUCAACAUCAAUUUCUUUUGCUGUAAAAAAGCUUGAGGAAGGUGGCUUGAGAUUCGUCUUAAGUGUUUAUAGCCUCUUGCCUAUGCAGUCGGAGAGAUUGAGGUCUGCAGCGUAGAUCCUUCGGGGCUAAAUGCAUUUGUGCUAAGUUAUAGCAUUUUAUAGACAACUUGUUGACUAUGAUUUGUCUUGUAGCUUACUCGCUUAUGUUAUUUUACCUACGCUUAGGAUGUUGAACUACUGAGACAUAGA